rnacentral:rRNA from 1 species
GCGUGUGUGAUGAAGGCCCUAGGGUUGUAAAGCACUUUCACUGGUGAAGAUGAUGACGGUAACCAGAGAAGAAGCCCCGGCUAACUUCGUGCCAGCAGCCGCGGUAAUACGAAGGGGGCGAGCGUUGCUCGGAAUUACUGGGCGUAAAGGGCGCGUAGGCGGCUCUUUAAGUUAGGCGUGAAAGCCCCGGGCUCAACCUGGGAACUGCGCUUAAGACUGGAGAGCUAGAAAACGGAAGAGGGUAGUGGAAUUCCCAGUGUAGAGGUGAAAUUCGU